rnacentral:rRNA from 1 species
CAAGAGCGUAUGUAAAAGUUGUUGCAGUUAAAAAGCUCGUAGUUGAACCUUGGGUUUGGUUGGCCGGUCCGCUUUUUUGCGAGUACUGGAUUCAACCGAGCCUUUCCUUCUGGCUAACCAGUCGUUUCGGCGGCUGGCGAACCAGGAUUUUUACUUUGAGAAAAUUAGAGUGUUCAAAGCAGGCAUUAGCUUGAAUAUAUUAGCAUGGAAUAAUAGAAUAGGACGUUAUGGUUCUAUUUUGUUGGUUUCUAGGACCAUCGUAAUGAUUAAUAGGGACGGUCGGGGGCAUCAGUAUUCAGUUAUCAGAGGUGAAAUUCUUGGAUUUACUGAAGACUAACUACUGCGAAAGCAUUUGCCAAGGACGUUUUCAUUAA